rnacentral:rRNA from 1 species
UACGUAGGAGGCGAGCGUUAUCCGGAUUCACUGGGCGUAAGGCGCAUGUAGGCGGCUGGACAAGUCGUGUGUUAAAGCCCCUGGCUCAGCUGGGGGAGGUCAUGCGAGACUGUACGGCUGGAGGGCAACAGAGGCACGUGGAACUCCCGGUGUAGCGGUGGAAUGCGUAGAGAUCGGGAAGAACACCAGUGGCGAAGGCGACGUGCUGGGUUGCACCUGACGCUGAGAUGCGAAAGUGUGGGGAGCAAACGGG